GGUUAAGUCGGCUAAACUUUAUGUUUUGUAAGCGAAACUUUGGGAAUUCAUUUGUAACAUUUCCCUUGGACGAACUAAACAGCUCUCUCGAGUUUUUCUCUCCGUCAUCAAAGAUCUUCAAGGGGUUAAUCCAAGAGAACUAAGUGAAGAGAGUUCUAGGGUUCGGCAGCCAAGAUAAGGCUUCUCUUCCACCUUCAUGUACGAGCUCAUGUUGAAGCUUAUAACAGAUGGAUCGAUUCUUUGUAGUUGAGCUAAAGGUUGAGAAUCAAGUAAGAGACAUUGAUCAGUGAUAGCGGUGCACCCUCUUCCCAGCUGAC